rnacentral:misc_RNA from 1 species
AAGUCGUAACAAGGUCUCCGUAGGUGAACCUGCGGAGGGAUCAUUACCGAGCGAGGGCCUCCGGCCCGACCUCCAACCCUUUGUCAACCAAUACCUCGUUGCCUCGGGGGUGACCCGGACCUCGCGUCCGGGGCCCCCGGUGGACCACUGUCAAACCCUUGCAUCUCUGCGUCGGAGUCUCGAGCAAAUCGAUUAAAA